GGGAGCGUCAUCACCGGCAAACCCAGCCUUGACCAGGCCAGAGCCAUUGUCGCACACGAGGGCGGUGGUCUCGUCGUCGUCACACAUGUUUGGUCUUUUCUGGGCUGGCCUUCUAUAAAGAGACGGAGGGUGGAAACAGCCUCGGGACCCUUGUCACCCUCCUCCGCCCCCAACAACCCCUCCUCUGUAUCUCAUCGUAAAGCCAGAGCCAGUUAACAGCUGAGGCGGUGUGUCUUUUGACAAGUGGCAGCGGAGGCCUGGGUCUCUCCUCAGCUGUCGCCACAUAGUGGGGUCCUCUGUUUGGAGCCAGACCAUGUGCUCUGAUCCUUCCAGGAUCUCUGACCACAGCCUGCAUCCCAAGUGGCAGCAUCCACUCCUUCAUACAGUUUUCCCCCAUUCAAAUCAUCAUAUCUCUCAUCCUCCCCCCAACAACACACUAUCAACUCUAGAUCACAACUUCAAACCGUAAAAAAGAAUAUCCAUGUUGUGGCAGUAAAAUAUCCUACAGCAGCAGCGUCUACUCAUCCUCCCUGAUCCCUACAGUCCAGAAACCAACAGCUCAAAUGCAAGAAGACUGCAAAGGGACUCACCAAGUUG